CUGCGUGGAUGAUCAGUGUAGUGGAAGCAGGGACUUGCUGAGAGCUGAAAUCUCUGUUUGAUUUGCUGUAACAUGUAAAGCGAAACUGGGACAUUUUACUUUACAGUCUAUUAAAGGUUAUACAAAACUUAAAAGAAGCAGCAAUUCUAUUCGCUUGUUAUUGGACUCGAAACUCCCUUUGACCUCGGAAACUGAAGAUGAGGUUGCCAUGGGAACUGCUGGUACUGCAAUCAUUCAUGUUGUGCCUUGCAGAUGAUUCCACACUGCAUGGCCCGAUUUUUAUUCAAGAACCAAGUCCUGUAAUGUUCCCUUUGGAUUCUGAGGAGAAAAAGGUGAAGCUCAAUUGUGAAGUUAAAGGAAAUCCAAAACCUCACAUCAGGUGGAAGUUAAAUGGAACAGAUGUUGACACUGGUAUGGAUUUCCGCUACAGUGUUGUUGAAGGGAGCUUGUUGAUCAAUAACCCCAAUAAAACCCAAGAUGCUGGAACGUACCAGUGCACAGCGACAAACUCGUUUGGAACAAUUGUUAGCAGAGAAGCAAAGCUUCAGUUUGCUUAUCUUGACAACUUUAAAACAAGAACAAGAAGCACUGUGUCUGUCCGUCGAGGUCAAGGAAUGGUGCUACUGUGUGGCCCGCCACCCCAUUCUGGAGAGCUGAGUUAUGCCUGGAUCUUCAAUGAAUACCCUUCCUAUCAGGAUAAUCGCCGCUUUGUUUCUCAAGAGACUGGGAAUCUGUAUAUUGCCAAAGUAGAAAAAUCAGAUGUUGGGAAUUAUACCUGUGUGGUUACCAAUACCGUGACAAACCACAAGGUCCUGGGGCCACCUACACCACUAAUAUUGAGAAAUGAUGGAGUGAUGGGUGAAUAUGAGCCCAAAAUAGAAGUGCAGUUCCCAGAAACAGUUCCGACUGCAAAAGGAGCAACGGUGAAGCUGGAAUGCUUUGCUUUAGGAAAUCCAGUACCAACUAUUAUCUGGCGAAGAGCUGAUGGAAAGCCAAUAGCAAGGAAAGCCAGAAGACACAAGUCAAAUGGAAUUCUUGAGAUCCCUAAUUUUCAGCAGGAGGAUGCUGGUUUAUAUGAAUGUGUAGCUGAAAAUUCCAGAGGGAAAAAUGUAGCAAGGGGACAGCUAACUUUCUAUGCUCAACCUAAUUGGAUUCAAAAAAUAAAUGAUAUUCACGUGGCCAUGGAAGAAAAUGUCUUUUGGGAAUGUAAAGCAAAUGGAAGGCCUAAGCCUACAUACAGGUGGCUAAAAAAUGGCGAACCUCUGCUAACUCGGGAUAGAAUUCAAAUUGAGCAAGGAACACUCAACAUAACAAUAGUGAACCUCUCAGAUGCUGGCAUGUAUCAGUGUUUGGCAGAGAAUAAACACGGAGUUAUCUUUUCCAACGCAGAGCUUAGUGUUAUAGCUGUAGGUCCAGAUUUUUCAAGAACACUCUUGAAAAGAGUAACUCUUGUCAAAGUGGGAGGUGAAGUUGCCAUUGAGUGUAAGCCAAAAGCGUCUCCAAAACCUGUUUAUACCUGGAAGAAAGGAAGGGAUAUAGUAAAAGAAAAUGAAAGAAUUACCAUUUCUGAAGAUGGAAACCUCAGAAUCAUCAACGUUACUAAAUCAGACGCUGGGAGUUAUACCUGUAUAGCCACUAACCAUUUUGGAACUGCUAGCAGUACUGGAAACUUGGUAGUGAAAGAUCCAACAAGGGUAAUGGUACCCCCUUCCAGCAUGGAUGUCACUGUUGGAGAAAGUAUUGUUUUGCCGUGCCAGGUAACGCAUGAUCACUCGCUAGACAUCGUGUUUACUUGGUCAUUUAAUGGACACCUGAUAGACUUUGACAGAGAUGGGGACCACUUUGAAAGAGUUGGAGGGCAGGAUUCAGCUGGUGAUUUGAUGAUCCGAAACAUCCAACUGAAGCAUGCUGGGAAAUAUGUCUGCAUGGUCCAAACAAGUGUGGACAGGCUAUCUGCUGCUGCAGACCUGAUUGUAAGAGGUCCUCCAGGUCCCCCAGAGGCUGUGACAAUAGACGAAAUCACAGAUACCACUGCUCAGCUCUCCUGGAGACCGGGGCCUGACAACCACAGCCCCAUCACCAUGUAUGUCAUUCAAGCCAGGACUCCGUUCUCCGUGGGCUGGCAAGCAGUCAGUACAGUCCCAGAACUCAUUGAUGGGAAGACAUUCACAGCGACCGUGGUGGGUUUGAACCCUUGGGUCGAAUAUGAAUUCCGCACAGUUGCAGCCAAUGUGAUUGGGAUUGGGGAGCCCAGCCGCCCUUCAGAGAAACGGAGAACAGAAGAAGCUCGUGAGUUGCACCCGAGAUUCAGAUCAUCUGUUCUGCCAGCUGCUGUUCCUUAGGAAAAGCCUUUGAAUUCUUGCUGCUCUUCAGCACUCAUGCGGCUCUGUGUUAGCACACCCUUCCCUUUAAAUGAUUAUAAUGAUAGAAAUCAGGCCAGGAGAAGCCCAGCUGAACACGCAACGGGUUUCAAUCAAUCAAGAGUUAAGUUUUCUUCAUUAGGUCCACUUGUACAGCAAGAGACACACUGUGCUUAGUCCUCUCAAAAGCCAGCCCUUUCUUCAUUGGUUCAUUUGUCACCAAGAUUCUAACAGAAUUUCAAAAAAAAAUCCCACAUUUCAAAUAAAAUUAUCUCACAUAAGU
rnacentral:sRNA from 1 species